AUGGCAAAUGAACACGAGAGAGACAAGCAAAUCGGAGAAGAGGAAGAAGAAGAAGAGUAUGCCUUGCUAGAGUUGGAUGGUUGUCUCUAUUCCAACAUUCAACCAAAUGCCCCUUAUAUACUCUCCGGUUUGGAUACAUUGGCCCCUAACUUGAUAGUAGGUGACGGCAUGAAGAUGAUUGGAGAGUACGAAGAAACGGUCGGUACAUAUUAUUUAUUUUCGGAAAGUAAUGCUUCACCAAAACCAGUUCAUGAUCAUAGUGCACCUCCCAAAGUAAAUAAGGACAAGCUAGGCAGCACUAAUAAGGAAGGACCAUCCAAGGAGGUGAAACAUCUCGCAAGAGUUCAAAAGAUCAUCAAAUUCCGGUCGAUCAAUGAGGAUCAUCACGAGCAGAGCAUAUCAGCAUAA
rnacentral:rRNA from 1 species